rnacentral:rRNA from 1 species
UGGGGAAUAUUGCACAAUGGGCGAAAGCCUGAUGCAGCGACGCCGCGUGAGGGAUGACGGCCUUCGGGUUGUAAACCUCUUUCAGCAGGGAAGAAGCGAAAGUGACGGUACCUGCAGAAGAAGCGCCGGCUAACUACGUGCCAGCAGCCGCGGUAAUACGUAGGGCGCAAGCGUUGUCCGGAAUUAUUGGGCGUAAAGAGCUCGUAGGCGGUUAGUCGCGUCUGCUGUGAAAACUCGAGGCUCAACCUCGGGCUUGCAGUGGGUACGGGCUGACUAGAGUGCGGUAGGGGUGACUGGAAUUCCUGGUGUAGCGGUGGAAUGCGCAGAUAUCAGGAGGAACACCGAUGGCGAAGGCAGGUCACUGGGCCGCAACUGACGCUGAGGAGCGAAAGCAUGGGGAGCGAACAGGAUUAGAUACCCUGGUAGUCCAUGCCGUAAACGUUGGCACUAGGUGUGGGGUCCAUUCCACGGAUUCCGUGCCGCAGCAAACGCAUUAAGUGCCCCGCCUGGGGAGUACGGCCGCAAGGCUAAAACUCAAUGAAUUGACGGGGUCAUAGCUGUUUCCU